UACGGGGGGGGCAAGCGUUGUUCGGAAUUACUGGGCGUAAAGGGCUCGUAGGCGGCCAACUAAGUCAUACGUGAAAUCCCUCGGCUUAACCGGGGAACUGCGUCUGAUACUGGAUGGCUUGAGUUCGGGAGAGGGAUGCGGAAUUCCAGGUGUAGCGGUGAAAUGCGUAGAUAUCAGGAGGAACACCUGCGGUGUAGACGGCUUUCUGGACCAUUGCUGACGCUGAGACACGAAAGCGUGGGUAGCAAACAGG
rnacentral:rRNA from 1 species